UGAGGGAAUAUUGGUCAAUGGGCGAGAGCCUGAACCAGCCAAGUCGCGUGAGGGAUGACGGCCCUACGGGUUGUAAACCUCUUUUAUAAGGGAAUAAAGGACAUCACGUGUGGUGUUUUGCAUGUACCUUAUGAAUAAGCAUCGGCUAACUCCGUGCCAGCAGCCGCGGUAAUACGGAGGAUGCGAGCGUUAUCCGGAUUCAUUGGGUUUAAAGGGUGCGUAGGUGGCCGAUUAAGUCAGCGGUGAAAGUCAGUGGCUCAACCAUUGAAUUGCCGUUGAAACUGGUUGGCUUGAGUACGUACGGGGCAGGCGGAAUUCGUGGUGUAGCGGUGAAAUGCUUAGAUAUCACGAAGAACCCCGAUUGCGAAGGCAGCCUACCGUAGCGGCACUGACGCCGAGGCUCGAAAGCGUGGGUAUCGAACAGGAUUAGAUA
rnacentral:rRNA from 1 species